GGACUGCAGUGUAGGACUUUUCUGCAGAAUACCAUUUGAUCCUAUUAAGAAUUGUCCAAAUGUUGGAGCAUUUGAUUGAAAAAUCCUUCUUAGCCAUUUUAAAGAUAGCUUUCCAAUGAUUAGACGAAUUGAUUCUUUCUGUGACUCAUCAGUUCAUUUCCUGUAAAAUUCAUGUCUUGCUGUUGAUUUGUGAAUAAGAACCAGAGCUUGUAGAAACCACCUUAAUCAUAUCCAGGAGUUUGCAAGAAACAGGUGCUUAACACUAAUUCACCUCCUGAACAAGAAAAAUGGGCUGUGAUCGGAACUGUGGGCUCAUCGCUGGGGCUGUCAUUGGUGCCAUCCUGGCUGUGUUUGGAGGUAUUCUAAUGCCAGUUGGAGAUCUGCUUAUCCAGAAGACAAUUAAAAAGGCACAGAAGUUUACAGACAGUUUUGGAUCUUUGAUGUGCAAAAUCCACAGGAAGUGAUGAUGAACAGCAGCAACAUUCAAGUUAAGCAAAGA
rnacentral:sRNA from 1 species